rnacentral:rRNA from 1 species
CAGCAGUGAGGAAUAUUGGUCAAUGGUCGGGAGACUGAACCAGCCAAGCCGCGUGAGGGAGGAAGGUACAGAGUAUCGUAAACCUCUUUUGUCAGGGAACAAAGGCGGGGACGUGUCCCCGGAUGAGUGUACCUGAAGAAAAAGCAUCGGCUAACUCCGUGCCAGCAGCCGCGGUAAUACGGAGGAUGCGAGCGUUAUCCGGAUUUAUUGGGUUUAAAGGGUGCGCAGGCGGUCUGUUAAGUCAGCGGUCAAAGCCCGGGGCUCAACCCCGGCCCGCCGUUGAAACUGGCAGUCUCGAGUUGGAGAGAAGUAUGCGGAAUGCGCGGUGUAGCGGUGAAAUGCAUAGAUAUCGCGCAGAACUCCGAUUGCGAAGGCAGCAUGCCGGCUCCACACUGACGCUGAGGCACGAAAGCGUGGGUAUCGAACAGGAUUAGA